rnacentral:sRNA from 1 species
AAUUGAGGAUGUGGUGAAAGAUGCCACAAGUUGCUUUCACUCUCCCGUUUUAUUUUGUUCUUGUCCAAUUAUAUAUAUAUAUAUAUUAUUAGUGGUCCGUUAGACCAAUCCAUCCAACAUCACAUGAGGAGGUCUUCCCACAAUAUAAAUACAACUAGAUUUUAAUCCGCGAUAUACCGCGGGACGAUUUAUUUUUUAAAAGUAAUAUAUAUUAAAAUUUGCAAAUUUUAUUUUUAUAAAAUAUUUAUAUUUUACAGUUUAUAAUUAUUAUUAAGUAACGCUAUACCACGAAUCCAUGAGACAAUUUUUAAAAAACUGAAGUUGUAACCCCUAUUAAAACAGCAUAUUAAUAAUAUUUUAAAAUUUUAUAAAUAUUGAUUCAAAUACAUCCACCAUAUAAUCCAAUUCCAAAAUAAAACCUGUUGUAUAAUUUCUUUACCCGUCCCGUGAUUUUUUUUUAAA